UUUUUACUGGGUCGGGGUUCCGGAAACACACACGAUACAAAAGCACAAACCCCCAGAAACGACAAACAUCUAUAUGGCCAAUACAAAUGUCUGUCGUGAGCUGGCAUCGAACCCGCGACCGC